rnacentral:misc_RNA from 1 species
CCCAUAUUUCGCCAAUAUAAUACGCUGCAUCCGCAAGCACUCAUGCCACCCAUUGCACCACUUUGAGAUGUAGUGAGUGUAAACCCACAUAAUCAUCCUAGGGGCCAUAAGCAACACUAUGUAGCCACUCCCGUACCGCACUGGACGGAGGGAGAGGGAAAAAGAAGAUGAUAUCGAGUCACAUUUCGUGACAGACUACGUAGGCAACACAGGCAAAGCAUAAGACCCUAAUAACAUCAUUGGGUCGUAUAAUGAGGAGAUGCAGUAAGGACGGUUGGGAGCACAAGGCACAGAGCCCACCCUUACAAGCAAAUGUCAUACAACUUAUGCAUCGACACGGUCAUUCUACCAUUCAUCACCCCAUCGCCCAUAUGCAUGAUAGCGCAAAUGAGUCAAAUGAAAUAGUUAAUAGUAGAACUCCGC